rnacentral:rRNA from 1 species
GACGAACGCUGGCGGCGUGCCUAAUACAUGCAAGUCGAGCGGAUGACAGAGGAGCUUGCUCCUCUAGAUUCAGCGGCGGACGGGUGAGUAACACGUGGGCAACCUGCCCUGUAGAUUGGGAUAACUCCGGGAAACCGGGGCCAAUACCGAAUAAUCCUUCGGACCUCAUGGUCCGAUGUUGAAAGACGGCUUCGGCUGUCACUACAGGAUGGGCCCGCGGCGCAUUAGCUAGUUGGUGAGGUAACGGCUCACCAAGGCCACGAUGCGUAGCCGACCUGAGAGGGUGAUCGGCCACACUGGGACUGAGACACGGCCCAGACUCCUACGGGAGGCAGCAGUAGGGAAUCUUCCACAAUGGACGAAAGUCUGAUGGAGCAACGCCGCGUGAGUGAAGAAGGUUCUCGGAUCGUAAAACUCUGUUGUGAGGGAAGAACAAGUACCGGAGUAACUGCCGGUACCUUGACGGUACCUCAUUAGAAAGCCACGGCUAACUACGUGCCAGCCGCCGCAGUAACAC